CCUACGGGUGACUGCAGUGGGGGAUAUUGGACAAUGGGGGGAACCCUGAUCCAGCGACGCCGCGUGAGUGAAGAAGUAUUUCGGUAUGUAAAGCUCUGUCAGCAGGGAAGAAAGAAAUGACGGUACCUGACCAAGAAGCCCCGGCUAACUACGUGCCAGCAGCCGCGGUAAUACGUAGGAGGCAAGCGUUAUCCGGAAUUACUGGGUGUAAAGGGAGCGUAGACGGUUAAGUAAGGCAGGAGUGAAAGGCCGGGGCCCAACCCCGGGACUGCUGUGGAACCUAUUGAACUUGAGUGCAGGAGAGGUAAGCGGAAUUCGUGGUGUAGCGGUGAAAUGCGUAGAUAUUAGGAGGAACACCAAUUGCGAAGGCGGCUUACUGGACUGUAACUGACGUUGAGGCUCGAAAGCGUGGGGAGCAAACAGGAUUAGAUACCCGUGUAGUC
rnacentral:rRNA from 1 species